rnacentral:rRNA from 7 species
GACGAACGCUGGCGGCGUGCCUAAUACAUGCAAGUCGAGCGGACAGAAGGGAGCUUGCUCCCGGAUGUUAGCGGCGGACGGGUGAGUAACACGUGGGUAACCUGCCUGUAAGACUGGGAUAACUCCGGGAAACCGGAGCUAAUACCGGAUAGUUCCUUGAACCGCAUGGUUCAAGGAUGAAAGACGGUUUCGGCUGUCACUUACAGAUGGACCCGCGGCGCAUUAGCUAGUUGGUGAGGUAACGGCUCACCAAGGCGACGAUGCGUAGCCGACCUGAGAGGGUGAUCGGCCACACUGGGACUGAGACACGGCCCAGACUCCUACGGGAGGCAGCAGUAGGGAAUCUUCCGCAAUGGACGAAAGUCUGACGGAGCAACGCCGCGUGAGUGAUGAAGGUUUUCGGAUCGUAAAGCUCUGUUGUUAGGGAAGAACAAGUGCAAGAGUAACUGCUUGCACCUUGACGGUACCUAACCAGAAAGCCACGGCUAACUACGUGCCAGCAGCCGCGGUAAUACGUAGGUGGCAAGCGUUGUCCGGAAUUAUUGGGCGUAAAGGGCUCGCAGGCGGUUUCUUAAGUCUGAUGUGAAAGCCCCCGGCUCAACCGGGGAGGGUCAUUGGAAACUGGGAAACUUGAGUGCAGAAGAGGAGAGUGGAAUUCCACGUGUAGCGGUGAAAUGCGUAGAGAUGUGGAGGAACACCAGUGGCGAAGGCGACUCUCUGGUCUGUAACUGACGCUGAGGAGCGAAAGCGUGGGGAGCGAACAGGAUUAGAUACCCUGGUAGUCCACGCCGUAAACGAUGAGUGCUAAGUGUUAGGGGGUUUCCGCCCCUUAGUGCUGCAGCUAACGCAUUAAGCACUCCGC